rnacentral:rRNA from 1 species
AUAAUGGGUCAGCGACUUAUAUUCUGUAGCAAGGUUAACCGAAUAGGGGAGCCGAAGGGAAACCGAGUCUUAACUGGGCGUUAAGUUGCAGGGUAUAGACCCGAAACCCGGUGAUCUAGCCAUGGGCAGGUUGAAGGUUGGGUAACACUAACUGGAGGACCGAACCGACUAAUGUUGAAAAAUUAGCGGAUGACUUGUGGCUGGGGGUGAAAGGCCAAUCAAACCGGGAGAUAGCUGGUUCUCCCCGAAAGCUAUUUAGGUAGCGCCUCGUGAAUUCAUCUCCGGGGGUAGAGCACUGUUUCGGCAAGGGGGUCAUCCCGACUUACCAACCCGAUGCAAACUGCGAAUACCGGAGAAUGUUAUCACGGGAGACACACGGCGGGUGCUAACGUCCGUCGUGAAGAGGGAAACAACCCAGACCGCCAGCUAAGGUCCCAAAGUCAUGGUUAAGUGGGAAACGAUGUGGGAAGGCCCAGACAGCCAGGAUGUUGGCUUAGAAGCAGCCAUCAUUUAAAGAAAGCGUAAUAGCUCACUGGUCGAGUCGGCCUGCGCGGAAGAUGUAACGGGGCUAAACCAUGCACCGAAGCUGCGGCAGCGACGCUGAUGCGUUGUUGGGUAGGGGAGCGUUCUGUAAGCCUGUGAAGGUGUGCUGUGAGGCAUGCUGGAGGUAUCAGAAGUGCGAAUGCUGACAUAAGUAACGAUAAAGCGGGUGAAAAGCCCGCUCGCCGGAAGACCAAGGGUUCCUGUCCAACGUUAAUCGGGGCAGGGUGAGUCGACCCCUAAGGCGAGGCCGAAAGGCGUAGUCGAUGGGAAACAGGUUAAUAUUCCUGUACUUGGUGUUACUGCGAAGGGGGGACGGAGAAGGCUAUGUUGGCCGGGCGACGGUUGUCCCGGUUUAAGCGUGUAGGCUGGUUUUCCAGGCAAAUCCGGAAAACUAAGGCUGAGGCGUGAUGACGAGGCACUACGGUGCUGAAGCAACAAAUGCCCUGCUUCCAGGAAAAGCCUCUAAGCAUCAGGUAACAUCAAAUCGUACCCCAAACCGACACAGGUGGUCAGGUAGAGAAUACCAAGGCGCUUGAGAGAACUCGGGUGAAGGAACUAGGCAAAAUGGUGCCGUAACUUCGGGAGAAGGCACGCUGAUAUGUAGGUGAAGUCCCUCGCGGAUGGAGCUGAAAUCAGUCGAAGAUACCAGCUGGCUGCAACUGUUUAUUAAAAACACAGCACUGUGCAAACACGAAAGUGGACGUAUACGGUGUGACGCCUGCCCGGUGCCGGAAGGUUAAUUGAUGGGGUCAGCGCAAGCGAAGCUCUUGAUCGAAGCCCCGGUAAACGGCGGCCGUAACUAUAACGGUCCUAAGGUAGCGAAAUUCCUUGUCGGGUAAGUUCCGACCUGCACGAAUGGCGUAAUGAUGGCCAGGCUGUCUCCACCCGAGACUCAGUGAAAUUGAACUCGCUGUGAAGAUGCAGUGUACCCGCGGCAAGACGGAAAGACCCCGUGAACCUUUACUAUAGCUUGACACUGAACAUUGAGCCUUGAUGUGUAGGAUAGGUGGGAGGCUUUGAAGUGUGGACGCCAGUCUGCAUGGAGCCGACCUUGAAAUACCACCCUUUAAUGUUUGAUGUUCUAACGUUGACCCGUAAUCCGGGUUGCGGACAGUGUCUGGUGGGUAGUUUGACUGGGGCGGUCUCCUCCUAAAGAGUAACGGAGGAGCACGAAGGUUGGCUAAUCCUGGUCGGACAUCAGGAGGUUAGUGCAAUGGCAUAAGCCAGCUUGACUGCGAGCGUGACGGCGCGAGCAGGUGCGAAAGCAGGUCAUAGUGAUCCGGUGGUUCUGAAUGGAAGGGCCAUCGCUCAACGGAUAAAAGGUACUCCGGGGAUAACAGGCUGAUACCGCCCAAGAGUUCAUAUCGACGGCGGUGUUUGGCACCUCGAUGUCGGCUCAUCACAUCCUGGGGCUGAAGUAG